GCUGGAGGUAUCAGAAGUGCGAAUGCUGACAUAAGUAACGAUAAAGCGGGUGAAAAGCCCGCUCGCCGGAAGACCAAGGGUUCCUGUCCAACGUUAAUCGGGGCAGGGUGAGUCGACCCCUAAGGCGAGGCCGAAAGGCGUAGUCGAUGGGAAACGGGUUAAUAUUCCCGUACUUGGUGUUACUGCGAAGGGGGGACGGAGAAGGCUAUGUUGGCCGGGCGACGGUUGUCCCGGUUUAAGCGUGUAGGUGUGUGUUCCAGGUAAAUCCGGUUCACUUUAACACUGAGGCGUGACGACGAGGCACUACGGUGCUGAAGCAACAAAUGCCCUGCUUCCAGGAAAAGCCUCUAAGCAUCAGGUAACAUCAAAUCGUACCCCAAACCGACACAGGUGGUCAGGUAGAGAAUACCAAGGCGCUUGAGAGAACUCGGGUGAAGGAACUAGGCAAAAUGGUGCCGUAACUUCGGGAGAAGGCACGCUGACACGUAGGUGAAGUGAUUUACUCAUGGAGCUGAAGUCAGUCGAAGAUACCAGCUGGCUGCAACUGUUUAUUAAAAACACAGCACUGUGCAAACACGAAAGUGGACGUAUACGGUGUGACGCCUGCCCGGUGCCGGAAGGUUAAUUGAUGGGGUCAGCGCAAGCGAAGCUCCUGAUCGAAGCCCCGGUAAACGGCGGCCGUAACUAUAACGGUCCUAAGGUAGCGAAAUUCCUUGUCGGGUAAGUUCCGACCUGCACGAAUGGCGUAAUGAUGGCCAGGCUGUCUCCACCCGAGACUCAGUGAAAUUGAACUCGCUGUGAAGAUGCAGUGUACCCGCGGCAAGACGGAAAGACCCCGUGAACCUUUACUAUAGCUUGACACUGAACAUUGAGCCUUGAUGUGUAGGAUAGGUGGGAGGCUUUGAAGCGUGGACGCCAGUCUGCGUGGAGCCGACCUUGAAAUACCACCCUUUAAUGUUUGAUGUUCUAACGUGGACCCGUAAUCCGGGUUGCGGACAGUGUCUGGUGGGUAGUUUGACUGGGGCGGUCUCCUCCUAAAGAGUAACGGAGGAGCACGAAGGUUGGCUAAUCCUGGUCGGACAUCAGGAGGUUAGUGCAAUGGCAUAAGCCAGCUUGACUGCGAGCGUGACGGCGCGAGCAGGUGCGAAAGCAGGUCAUAGUGAUCCGGUGGUUCUGAAUGGAAGGGCCAUCGCUCAACGGAUAAAAGGUACUCCGGGGAUAACAGGCUGAUACCGCCCAAGAGUUCAUAUCGACGGCGGUGUUUGGCACCUCGAUGUCGGCUCAUCACAUCCUGGGGCUGAAGUAGGUCCCAAGGGUAUGGCUGUUCGCCAUUUAAAGUGGUACGCGAGCUGGGUUUAGAACGUCGUGAGACAGUUCGGUCCCUAUCUGCCGUGGGCGCUGGAGAACUGAGGGGGGCUGCUCCUAGUACGAGAGGACCGGAGUGGACGCAUCACUGGUGUUCGGGUUGUCAUGCC
rnacentral:rRNA from 1 species